UGCCGGCGGCUGGGCUGGUUUUUAAGGGGAAGGCGGUUUGCCUGCCCUGCUCGCCCCGGAGCCUUCGGCGGGCCGAGACCUUCCCCGCAACCCGCCGAGGACGGCGGAGGCCGGACGGGGUUGUGGCGAAUCUGCGGGACGCAGGGGGCAAAGGCGAUCCGGGCGCUGCGUGCGGGGCGCAGCCCCGCCAUUACCGGGAAGGAGGCGCCGCCUCGCCCGGCGUGUGUGUGGGGGGGUGUUAUUGGUGCUCCCGAGGCAUCGUGCUGGCCGGGCUGUCUCCGCCCUAGACUCGCAGUCUCCAGCACCGGGCUCGUCCCCUACACCCCGCGACAGCAAGGGGAAGGUGCGGCCGGGAAACUGCCCGCCUUCACGUUCCUGUCAGCACUUUCCACAGGGACGCUAACCCGCUUCCCGCCUUUCUGCCGAGCCGGCUCCCCGCUGGGCAGCCCCGGUCGGUGUUAGCAUACCCGCAGGGGCCCGGCCGGGAGGAGAGGCAGCGCUGUCUCCCGGUGGCGAAUCUGCGGCGGAGAACAAGCAGGCGGGGGGGAGGGGGGAGGCCGUUGGCGCCUCGCGCCCGCUGCCGUUUGGCGCCUUUUUCCUCUCAGAGGGAGCGCGCGGCGGCGCCCUGAGGCGCUCUGGUCCCCGGGCUGCUCGGGAGGCAUCUAGAAAAACGCUGCAGUGUAGUGCCCGGGCCCGAAUAAAUCCCCAAAAGGCAGGCGAUAAAGUCAGGUGAACAGUCCUGGCAGUGCUGGGGAGCCCUUUGGCUGCGUAGCGUGCGCAGUGCCGAAACGAUGGUUUGGGAAUGGCACGUCUUCGAAAAGAGGUUGAGCGGGAGCAGGAUGUGGCCCUCAGUGUGGUUGUGCUUGCCGUGCUGUGAGGAAGGUGGGAAGAUGCCGGUGUGUCGAUGCAAGGGCGUGCACAGAAGAAGGCCAGAGGAAGCAGGUCAGCCUGCAGAGUGGUGUGAAGGAAGGCUGGUCGUAUGGGCUGCAGGGAGGACCCUAGGUUACAAAUCUGUGUAGGUUAUAAUUUUGAACCAAAUCAGACUGACGAACUCAAACACUUAGCUGCUGAAUCACAGAGGACUAUGAAUUAGAGAGUAGACUGGGACCAGUGGAAUUAUCCAGAAAAAUUUCUUGCAGAAAAUUGUGAAGGUAUCACACACGGAGGUAAAAAGCUGGCAAAUAUAAGCCACGAUACACCAUGUGGCUCUGAGUGUCUGAGAAAGAUGAAGAAUUUCAGACCUCAGCAUUCAGCGUAGGAGUCUUUUAUAUAGUGAAAAUUGUUAAAAGUGACUGAAUUCAGUAUGAAAACUUAAAGUUUGGCAUUGAAAUGCUGUCAUAUGGCUAAUAAGAUAAAUUUCUAGACAUCCAUAAAGGAGGAUUUUGGUGGAUCUGGUGAAUGUGGCAGCUGAAGGAAAGCCAAACAGAUGAUACCUACCUAACCCAAAAGAACGGUAGAAGGUGAAAAGAAGAAAAACUGAGUAUGAUACUGGGUUGUUGCAAGUUAGGCCCAUUUCUUCUUGAUGCCUACACUUUGUCUAGCCCAGUUUGCUUUCGUUCUUAAAUAAGAAUAUGAACAAGUAAAGAGACAAGAACUCUGCCCUCAUCUGCUUACAGUGUGCUAUCUGUGGCCACAAUAGAAAUUUGUUGACAUGCAGCAGAAUGAUAUGUGACUUCAAUUUCAUAAUUAAAAGAAAGUAAGAACUGAAAAGAUUCCUCAGUCAGCCAGCCAAAUACACCUUUUUAGUCUACCAGUUUCACCUGGGCAGAGUAUUUUUAAAGAAAAGGUGUAAAGGGAACAUCUGGCUACAAGAUCCCUGAAGGCUAAAGCUGCUGCCCUUUGGCUCAACAAGGAUUUUUGCCUGCUCAAGAGACCUUUUUCCUUUCAGAAAUUACUCACUUGGUUUUGAAGUCAUCAGCAGCCAGCCUGGCAUUGUCAAUCUGCAAGACGAUCUUCGAGUUGUCGAUAGUGGCAUCAAGGAUCUACAAACAAUGAGAGUUCAUUGCUGAGGCUGAAACAACUAUGUUAUCUUCUUUCCCGAUCUGAAGAUAAAAGAGUUAAGAUUCUAUUUCAUCUGUACCUACACCACAUAGAAGUGUAUUUUAUUUGGUCUCAGUAGGAAAGUAUCAAUGAUCUAUAGCAAAUAUGUAGCACAGAUUUAUAACAGUACUUUUGCCAUCAUUGUCCAUUACGGAUAGGUCCUCUUACUCUUGUCUGGCAUAUGAAGUGGCUUUUAGCUAGAAGUCCCACAGUGAGACAAAACUGCAUGCUGUCUUAGAGGGAGAGGACUUUGGUGAGCCAGGGGGUAGGUGAUGUUUUAGGACGGAGGCGACAAACUUAUUUCCUGGAGAGAUGCAAAGGAAGCAAAGUCUGCAGACCCCUCUUGGCAGAAUUUGUUCUCAUUACACAUUUCCUUAACAGUAGGAAGUGAU